CAGUCGUACCUGCGGAUAAUCAGCUUUUUGAGUGUGAUUAUGUGGUUUAUGAGGAGUUUAACCGCCUUCAUGUAUUGCAUAUUUGUGCUCUUGGGUGUACUUGUCUGUGUGGUAGGUUAACAUCAAUUUCGGUCGUCAUAAAAUGAUUGGGAGGAAUGUAGCUUUGGUCUCGUAUCGAAGUGUUAUAGCUCUGGUAGAUGUGACGAUUGGGGAUUGGAGGUAUUGCAACGGAUACCCGUUUCGGGCUACCCGUCUGAUCUCUGUAAGGUUGCUCCGGUGACCGAAGCGUGCUUAGUGGU
rnacentral:rRNA from 1 species